ACUUUACAAUGCGGGAAACCGUGAUAAGGGAACUCCGAGUGCCCGUAAAAUCGGGCUGUCCAUCUGUNUAAAUAACAGGUGAAGAAAGGGCCGGGCAAGACCGGUGCCAGCCGCCGCGGUAAUACCGGCGGCUCGAGUGGUGGCCACUAUUACUGGGCUUAAAGCGUUCGUAGCUGGUCUGUUAAGUCUCUGGGGAAAUCUACUGGCUUAACCAAUAGGCGUCUCAGGGAUACUGGCAGACUAGGGACCGGGAGAGGUGAGAGGUACUCCAGGGGUAGGAGUGAAAUCCUGUAAUCCUUGGGGGACCACCUGUGGCGAAGGCGUCUCACCAGAACGGCUCCGACAGUGAGGGACGAAAGCUGGGGGAGCAAACCGGAUUAGAUACCCGGGUAGUCCCAGCCGUAAACGAUGCGCGUUAGGUGUAUCGGUGACCACGAGUCACCGAGGUGCCGAAGAGAAAUCGUAAACGUGCCGCCUGGAAGUACGGAGCGG
rnacentral:rRNA from 1 species